NAAACAACUCUCGUUGCAUCGAUGAAGAACGUAGCAAACUGCGAUACUUGGUGUGAAUUGCAGAAUCCCGUGAACCAUCGAGUCUUUGAACGCAAGUUGCGCCCGAAGCCAUUAGGCCGAGGGCACGUCUGCCUGGGCGUCACGC
rnacentral:rRNA from 1 species